AUUGAACGCUGGCGGCAUGCCUUACACAUGCAAGUCGAACGGCAGCACGGGAGCUUGCUCCUGGUGGCGAGUGGCGAACGGGUGAGUAAUACAUCGGAACGUACCCAGUAGUGGGGGAUAACGCACCGAAAGGUGCGCUAAUACCGCAUACGACCUACGGGUGAAAGCGGGGAACCGUAAGGCCUCGCGCUAUUGGAGCGGCCGAUGUCUGAUUAGCUAGUUGGCGGGGUAAAAGCCCACCAAGGCGACGAUCAGUAGCUGGUAUGAGAGGACGAUCAGCCACACUGGGACUGAGACACGGCCCAGACUCCUACGGGAGGCAGCAGUGGGGAAUUUUGGACAAUGGGGGCAACCCUGAUCCAGCAAUGCCGCGUGUGCGAAGAAGGCCUUCGGGUUGUAAAGCACUUUUGUCAGGGAAGAAAUCUUUCAGGCUAAUACCCUUGGAAGGAUGACGGUACCUGAAGAAUAAGCACCGGCUAACUACGUGCCAGCAGCCGCCGCCG
rnacentral:rRNA from 1 species